UACGUAGGGCGCAAGCGUUGUCCGGAAUUAUUGGGCGUAAAGAGCUCGUAGGCGGUUUGUCGCGUCUGCUGUGAAAACUCGAGGCUCAACCUCGGGCUUGCAGUGGGUACGGGCAGACUAGAGUGCGGUAGGGGUGACUGGAAUUCCUGGUGUAGCGGUGGAAUGCGCAGAUAUCGAGGAGGAACACCAGUGGCGAAGGCGGCUCCACUGGCCCGGUACUGACG
rnacentral:rRNA from 1 species